CUGAAAGGCUAGGGGUGCUUUCCGUCGAAACUUUAAUCCGGAAAGCUGAGAAAAACCCUUCGAACCUGAACCGGUUAAUGCCGGCGUAGGAAAGCCCAAAUCUUUUCCC
rnacentral:ncRNA from 2 species